rnacentral:rRNA from 1 species
UAGAUGCGAGAGUAGAGCAUAUCAAUAAGCGGAGGAAAAGAAACUAACAAGGAUUCCCCUAGUAACGGCGAGUGAAGCGGGAAGAGCUCAAAUUUGAAAUCUUCAAGGUUUUACCUUGACGAAUUGUAGUUUAAAGAAGUGUUUUCUGUUGGUGUUUUGGUAAAAGUUCUUUGGAAUAGGACAUCAUAGAGGGUGAGAAUCCCGUAUUUGACCGUUACUUUCCAGCUGUGUGAUACACUUUCAAAGAGUCGGAUUGUUUGGGAAUGCAGUCCAAAAUGGGUGGUAAAUUUCAUCUAAAGCUAAAUAUUGGCGAGAGACCGAUAGCGAACAAGUACCGUGAGGGAAAGAUGAAAAGAACUUUGAAAAGAGAGUUAAACAGUACGUGAAAUUGUCAAAAGGGAAGCGUUUGACACCAGUGUUGUUUAGUUGAAAAUCAAUUCAAUAAUUUUUGAUUUUGAGUAGUAUUGACUUCAUCAGCUUGCUGCUUUCUUUUCAGAAAUUAUUGAAUGCACUUUUCAGUUAACAAGUCAACAUCAAUUUCUUUUGCUGUAAAAGGGUCAUUGGAAGGUGGCUUUCUUUUCGGAGAAAGUGUUUAUAGCCUUUGGCCUCUGCAGUCGGAGAGAUUGAGGUCUGCAGCGUAGAUCCUUCGGGGUUAGAUACAUUUGUGCUAAGUUAUAGCCUUUCAUAGACAACUUGUUGACUAUGAUCAGUCAUGUAGCUUACUCGCUUAUGCUAUUUUACCUACGCUUAGGAUGUUGACGCGCGUGUGUGCGUG